GGAGGCGUGGCUGAGUGGUUUAAAGCAGCAUCCUGCUAAGAUGUUGAUCGGGAAACCGGUCCGAAGGUUCGAAUCCUUCCGCCUCCG
rnacentral:tRNA from 1 species